rnacentral:rRNA from 1 species
AACGCCCGGUUACAUUCCGAACCCGGAAGCUAAGCUCUUCAGCGCCGAUGGUACUGCAUGGGGGACCGUGUGGGAGAGUAGGACGCCGCCGGAC